rnacentral:tRNA from 1 species
GGUGAAGUGUCCGAGUGGCUUAAGGAGCACGCCUGGAAAGUGUGUAAACGUUUAUAGCGUUUCGAGGGUUCGAAUCCCUCUUUCACCGCCA